rnacentral:rRNA from 1 species
CAGCUCUCCGAGUAGUGUGGACGUUUAUUGGGCCUAAAGCAUCCGUAGCUUGCUAGAUAAGUCCUCUGUUAAAUCCACCGAUUCAAUCGUUGGAUUGCGGGGGAUACUGUUUGGCUAGGGGACGGGAGAGGUCGACGGUAUUUCCGGGGUAGGGGUGAAAUCCUAUAAUCCCGGGAGGACCACCAGUGGCGAAGGCUGUCGACUAGAACGCGCCCGACGGUGAGGGAUGAAAGCUGGGGGGCGAACCGGAUUAGAUACCCGAGUAGUCC